CUACGGGGGGCAGCAGUGGGGAAUUUUGCGCAAUGGGGGAAACCCUGACGCAGCAAUACCGCGUGAGUGAAGGAGGCCUUUGGGUCGUAAAGCUCUUUUCUUGGGGAAGAUAGUGACGGUACCCAAGGAAUAAGCACCGGCUAACUCCGUGCCAGCAGCCGCGGUAAUACGGAGGGUGCAAGCGUUGUUCGGAUUUACUGGGCGUAAAGGGCACGUAGGGGGCCAGCAAGUUAAGGGUGAAAUCCCGGGGCUCAACUCCGGAACUGCUCUUAAAACUGCUGAGCUAGAGAUAGUCAGAGGCGGGUGGAAUUCCAGGUGUAGAGGUGAAAUUCGUAGAUAUCUGGAGGAACACCGGUGGCGAAGGCGGCCCGCUGGGGCUAUUCUGACGCUAAGGUGCGAAAGCGUGGGGAGCAAACGGGAUUAGAUACCCGCGUAGUC
rnacentral:rRNA from 1 species